CGUGAAGAAACGCGAAGGAAGGGGACCAGGCUAAUGAACUCUACUGCCGGCCCGGGGAGAAGGCGAAUGUAGCACAUUCUGUCCCUGACCUUGUGCAGUUUGCAUACUCAGAGCACGGGAGGAAAACCAUGAACAGUGUAAAGUCAGUAGCCGCUUUGGACCCAUGUCCGUUAAGCAGCACAAACAAGGCAACUUUGCAGGAACUAAAGGAAGAGUUGUACAGAGGGCACACCCAGAGGAUGUCAGAGGUUGAAAAGCCUGAGCCAUCGGCUUCAAGCCCAACUCUUCUAUUUGCAAACAGGUGCAUGCUCUCUGGGUUCGACAUCCAACAUGGGCCUCACUGGACUCAACUCAAGAUGCCAGUGGGGCUGCAUUCCUUUCUGGAGGUUUCCUGCAUUCCUUGGCUCGUGGCCCCUUUCCAUCUUCAAAGUCAGCUGCAUGGAUGAGCCCUUCUCACAUCACAGCCCCUGACCUCCUGUGCCUCCUCCCUUCCACUCUCAGGGACCUUUGUGAUCACCUUUGGCCCAGCUGGAAAAUUUGGAUACUCUCCCUAUGUUAAGCUCAGCUGAUGACCGGCCUUAAUUCCACCUGCCACGUACAUUUCACUCUGUCAUGUAUCAUAACAUAUUCAUAAGUUCCAGGA